GAGGAAGGAAAAUUUCUGCAUUGUCCUCUUAAUACUCCUUUUUUUCUUUACACAAAAAAAUCAAUAAAUCCACUCCAUUCCAUCAUUUUUAAGAGACCACCAAGCUCCACACAAAUUUCAUAAAAGCCAACCAAAAAUCUCAGCUGCAAAACAACUCCAAAAAUACCCCAAACCUUGCUGAAAUUCAACCAACGUCACCCAUCAACAACCAAGCACCCCAUUCUUUUCCUCUAGAUCUCAGCCUUCAAACACCAUAAAAUGUAGCAAAAGCUCCAUAAAAUUCAAUCCAAAAUUGCUUCAAAAUAGCAUAAAAACUGCUUAAAACAGCAUAAAAGAUUGCUGAAAAAUAGCAUAAAAGACUGCUGAAAACAGCAUCAAAACUGCAUCAAAUAAGCUAAAAACCCUAUCAGAACACCUCCGUAAAUCAGUCCAAAUUCCAAUCCGAAAACCACCCAAAAACAGCCUCGAAAUCAUCCAAAAUGACAUCACAGGUGUGAGUCGAGUCGAUGAGCUGUCCGUUUGCAAUUCCAAGAGAUUCGGUUCGAGUUUUUCUCCGGUGUGCGGUCAGAGGUCGAUGAUCGUCUUUGUUCACGGUCGGGUUUUCAAAUGUAAAGAAAGUUUGCUAUAAAGGUCCAUUCUCCUUUACUUUAUGGUUAAUGUAUUGCUAUUCAAAUAGUGCGUAAAGUCAUUUCUUGUUAUUUUAUGCUUUUGGUUAAUUAUUCUUUAUAUUUAAAAUAAAUGCUGAAUUUUUUGCUGAUGUACUUUGAUCUAGGGACUUUUAGAAAAUUAAUAUCACUUCUUA
rnacentral:lncRNA from 1 species